rnacentral:rRNA from 1 species
GACGUAGGGCGCGAGCGUUGUCCGGAUUUAUUGGGCGUAAAGAGCUCGUAGGCGGCUUGUCGCGUCGACUGUGAAAUCCCGCGGCUCAACUGCGGGUCUGCAGUCGAUACGGGCAGGCUAGAGUUCGGUAGGGGAGACUGGAAUCCUGGUGUAGCGGUGAAAUGCGCAGAUAUCAGGAGGAACACCGAUGGCGAAGGCAGGUCUCUGGGCCGAUACUGACGCUGAGGAGCGAAAACGUGG